rnacentral:sRNA from 1 species
GCUGGGUGUGGUGGCGCAUGCCUGUAAUCCCUGUGGCUCAGAAGGCUGAGGCAGGAGGAUCUCGAGUUCAAAGCCAGCAAAAUUGAGGUGCUAAGCAACUCAGUGAGACUCUGUCUCUA